rnacentral:rRNA from 1 species
ACCGGCGGCUCGAGUGGUGGCCACUAUUACUGGGCUUAAAGCGUUCGUAGUUGGCUUGUUAAGUCUCUGGGGAAAUCUUCCGGCUCAACCGGAAGGCGUCUCAGGGAUACUGGCAGGCUAGGGACCGGAAGAGGUGAGAGGUACUCCAGGGGGGGGAGUGAGAUCCAGGGAUCCGUGGGGGAGCACCAGUGGCGGGGGCGUCACACCGGGACGGAUCCGACAGUGAGGAAAGAAAGCUGCGAAAGCAAAGCG